rnacentral:rRNA from 1 species
UACGGAGGGGGCUAGCGUUGUUCGGAAUUACUGGGCGUAAAGCGCGCGCAGGCGGUCCUUCAAGUCAGAGGUGAAAGCCCAGAGCUCAACUCUGGAAUUGCCUUUGAAACUGCAGGACUUGGGUACGGGAGAGGUGAGUGGAAUUCCGAGUGUAGAGGUGAAAUUCGUAGAUAUUCGGAAGAACACCAGUGGCGAAGGCGGCUCACUGGCCCGUUACCGACGCUCAGGCGCGACAGCGUGGGGAGCAAACAGG